rnacentral:rRNA from 1 species
UCCUACGGGAGGCAGCAGUGAGGAAUAUUGGACAAUGGGAGCAAUCCUGAUCCAGCCAUGCCGCGUGCAGGAAGACUGCCCUAUGGGUUGUAAACUGCUUUUAUACAGGAAGAAAAAGCCCGACGUGUCGGGUGUUGACGGUACUGUAAGAAUAAGGAUCGGCUAACUCCGUGCCAGCAGCCGCGGUAAUACGGAGGAUCCAAGCGUUAUCCGGAAUCAUUGGGUUUAAAGGGUCCGUAGGCGGGAUGAUAAGUCAGUGGUGAAAGUCUGCAGCUUAACUGUAGAAUUGCCAUUGAUACUGUUGUUCUUGAGUUAUUGUGAAGUGGUUAGAAUGAGUAGUGUAGCGGUGAAAUGCAUAGAUAUUACUCAGAAUACCGAUUGCGAAGGCAGAUCACUAACAAUACACUGACGCUGAUGGACGAAAGCGUAGGUAGCGAACAGGAUUAGAUACCCUGGUAGUCUACGCCGUAAACGAUGGUUACUAGCUGUUCGGGUUAAUUGAGACCUGAGUGGCUAAGCGAAAGUGAUAAGUAACCCACCUGGGGAGUACGUUCGCAAGAAUGAAACUCAAAUGAAUUGACGGA